AUUGAACGCUAGCUACAGGCUUAACACAUGCAAGUCGAGGGACGGGCGCACGGGGGAGUAACACGUAUCCAACCUGCCCUUUACUCGGGGAUAGCCUUUCGAAAGAAAGAUUAAUACCCGAUGUAAAGGAUGGGGAUGCGUUCCUUUAGGUUGUUGGUGAUGUACCGGCUCACCAAGCCUUCGAUGGAUAGGGGUUCUGAGAGGAAGGUCACCCACAGUGGAACUGAGGCACGGUCCAAACUCGUACGGGAGGCAGCAGUGAUGAAUAUUGGUCAAUGGGCGUUAGCCUGAACCAGCCAAGUAGCGUGAAGGAUGAAGGCUUAUGGGUCGUAAACUUCUUUUAUAUAAGAAUAUGUAUUAAAUAAAUAAGGAUCGGCUCACUCCGUGCCAGCAGCCGCGGUAAUAA
rnacentral:rRNA from 1 species